CCUACGGGUGACAGCAGUGGGGAAUAUUGCACAAUGGGGGAAAGCCUGAUGCAGCGACGCCGCGUGAGUGAGGAAGUAUUUCGGUAUGUAAAGCUCUUUCAGCAGGGAAGAAAAUGACGGUACCUGACUAAGAAGCACCGGCUAACUACGUGACAGCAGCCGCGGGACUACGGAGGGGGCAAGCGUUAUCCGGAUUUACUGGGUGUAAAGGGAGCGUAGACGGUUAAUCAAGUCAGAAGUGAAAACCCAGGGUUCAACCUUGGGAGUGCCUUUGAAACUGAGUAGCUAGAGUGCAGGAGAGGUAAGCGGAAUUCCUGGUGUAGCGGUGAAAUGCGUAGAUAUUAGGAGGAACACCAGUGGCGAAGGCAGCUUACUGGACUGUAACUGACGUUGAGGCUCGAAAGCGUGGGGAGCAAACAGGAUUAGAUACCCUGGUAGUC
rnacentral:rRNA from 1 species